rnacentral:rRNA from 1 species
AGCUACAGGCUUAACACAUGCAAGUCGAGGGGCAGCAUGGUCUUAGCUUGCUAAGGCCGAUGGCGACCGGCGCACGGGUGAGUAACACGUAUCCAACCUGCCGUCUACUCUUGGACAGCCUUCUGAAAGGAAGAUUAAUACAAGAUGGCAUCAUGAGUCCGCAUGUUCACAUGAUUAAAGGUAUUCCGGUAGACGAUGGGGAUGCGUUCCAUUAGAUAGUAGGCGGGGUAACGGCCCACCUAGUCUUCGAUGGAUAGGGGUUCUGAGAGGAAGGUCCCCCACAUUGGAACUGAGACACGGUCCAAACUCCUACGGGAGGCAGCAGUGAGGAAUAUUGGUCAAUGGGCGAGAGCCUGAACCAGCCAAGUAGCGUGAAGGAUGACUGCCCUAUGGGUUGUAAACUUCUUUUAUAAAGGAAUAAAGUCGGGUAUGGAUACCCGUUUGCAUGUACUUUAUGAAUAAGGAUCGGCUAACUCCGUGCCAGCAGCCGCGGUAAUACGGAGGAUCCGAGCGUUAUCCGGAUUUAUUGGGUUUAAAGGGAGCGUAGAUGGAUGUUUAAGUCAGUUGUGAAAGUUUGCGGCUCAACCGUAAAAUUGCAGUUGAUACUGGAUAUCUUGAGUGCAGUUGAGGCAGGCGGAAUUCGUGGUGUAGCGGUGAAAUGCUUAGAUAUCACGAAGAACUCCGAUUGCGAAGGCAGCCUGCUAAGCUGCAAC